UAGGGCCCGCCAGGGGAUCGUGGGAAAGACGAAGAUAGAAAGGGUGGGUGUAGCAAAGGGAGGCACGGGACAAGAUUGUCAUGGGGGCGGACACGGCCUGUGCCCAAGUGUGUAAACUGGGUAGUGUUUUGCUAGUAAUAAGCAAGGAGAGAAACUCACUGCUGUCCUGGAAUCAACUUUGGCUUAUUCCUGAACGACUUCUUUGAGACUGCUAUUUCUAGUAAAAUGGGAAAGUUGCCUGGAGUGAUAGUGCACACCUUUAAUCCAACUACUUGGGAGGUAGAAAGAAAAAGGGAAAAGCGAGCCGGGGUUGAUUGAGAGCUGUGCUGGUGGGUUUGUUUCGUGUGUGUGUGUUUUGCUUAGAGACAAUCUCACUAUGUAUCCCUGACUGGCCUCGAACUCACAGCCUCCCAAGUGUUGUGACUAAAUGCAUGGGCCACCACCUCUGGCUCCCACCCUACUGAGGAGCUCUUGUGCACUAUUCGUUAUUAUUACUAUUUUAGCCAGGACAGGUAUUUCCCAGUGGAUUAUGGGGGCCGGAACUAGAUGAUUUCCUUAGUUCUGAUUUAUACUUUCUCCCUCAGAUCACUCUUUAAUAGGAUGGACUUUGAGGACCUGGGAUUGGUAGAUUGGGAACACCACCUUCCCCCACCAGCUGCCAAGGCUGUGGUGGAGAGCCUCCCUAGAACAGUCAUCAGUAGCGCCAAGGCUGGUGAGGACACAAGGCCUUUUUUGUUUUUUUUUUCUGUUUAGGGCAGAUAAGCCAGACCUGCCUGCCUGCCGACUCCCCCUAGCCACCAACAAUCUGGCCUGUUAGUGUUCUAGGCCAAGCCUGUGUCUGAGUGGGAGGUUGGGUUGGGCCUUAACUGCUCUCCUGAUCGACACUUCCUCUUCAAGAUCUCAAGUGCCCCGUGUGCCUUUUGGAAUUUGAGGCGGAGGAGACUGUGAUUGAGAUGCCCUGCCAUCAUCUCUUCCAUUCCAACUGCAUUCUGCCCUGGCUAAGUAAGGUACUCGGUCCAUCCCUUCCCGGCCCCAACACCAGUUCCCGCCAGUUCCUAAGCGGCUUUUUUUUUUUUUUUUUUUUUGGUAAUGGACUGGGGUGAAAUCAAGGGAGAGAGCAGGGCUGGAAGGCAGGAGCAGGAAAGGACCGGAAUACCGCUCUUGAUUUCUCUAGACAAAUUCCUGCCCUCUGUGCCGCCAUGAGCUGCCCACUGAUGAUGACAGCUAUGAAGAGCACAAGAAAGACAAGGUCUGGUCACCCCACCCCUGCUGCACACUCCCCACUCCUCAGCAGGCUUGGCUAGGCCUCUGAACGCCCCCCUCACUUGGGCUCCCUUCCAAGUCAGUGUGGUGAGGGCAAAGGUCUCAGCAUUGUUAAUGUUAGAAGCCUGAAAAGAGACCCCGUGACAGCUGCUCUCUGCAUGGUCCUAUCCAUGAGUAUUCAGACCCAGCCUUGCCUAAGCCUGGCGUCUUUCUUCUAGGCUCGCAGGCAGCAGCAGCAGCACCGCCUGGAGAACCUCCACGGAGCCAUGUACACGUGAGGCAGCUGCCAGGGCUGAGCGCUCAGCCUCUCUGAUACCUUCCCUCUGCACUCUGAAUCAUUAAAGGUUUCUUUACCCACCCU
rnacentral:lncRNA from 1 species